rnacentral:sRNA from 1 species
UUUCUUUCUCUUCCUG